rnacentral:rRNA from 1 species
UGACCCUUUAAGGGUCCUGAAGGAACGUUGAAGACGACGACGUUGAUAGGCCGGGUGUGUAAGCGCAGCGAUGCGUUGAGCUAACCGGUACUAAUGAACCGUGAGGCUUAACCUUA